AAGACAAACGGCUGCUUCUAUCUCAAGUAACCCUUGUAACACUGGACAACACACAUUUUCCACCGGUUUGCCAAGUCCUAUAUGGAUCAAUCCUCCCAAAACGUCAACACAAGCUCCAAGCUUCAAUGCGUUGAUGGGACACGUUGGUUGUUUACCACCGCCUCCUCCUCCCCCUCCUCCAGGCCCGGAAGGUGGACCAUAUGGUGGAUAGCCGGAAGAUGGUGGUGGGACUGUGACCGGAGGUGGGUUAAUGAUUGGAGGGAGAAGUCCUGGAGGAGUUGGGACUGGAGGGAGAAGUCCCGGAGGAGUUGAGAUAGGAGGGAGGAGUCCCGGAGGAGUUGUAACGGGCGGUGGUUGAAUUGGAGGGCUUAUGAUCGGAGGUCUUGUGAUUGGCGGUGGCCUCACGAUUGGUGGUGGAUAGACAACCGGAGGAGGUCUUAUGAUUGGCGGUGGUCUCACCACUACCGGAGGAGGUCUAACAAUCGGCGGUGAUUUCCCUCCUCCUCCUCCACCAUGAUGCGGCGGUCCUCCACCUUUCCCACCGUGGUGUGGGGGUUUAGCACCACCUUUCCCACCGUGAUGCG
rnacentral:lncRNA from 1 species